rnacentral:rRNA from 1 species
AGGAGCUUGCUCCUUUGACGUUAGCGGCGGACGGGUGAGUAACACGUGGGUAACCUACCUAUAAGACUGGGAUAACUUCGGGAAACCGGAGCUAAUACCGGAUAACAUUUGGAACCGCAUGGUUCUAAAGUGAAAGAUGGUUUUGCUAUCACUUAUAGAUGGACCCGCGCCGUAUUAGCUAGUUGGUAAGGUAACGGCUUACCAAGGCGACGAUACGUAGCCGACCUGAGAGGGUGAUCGGCCACACUGGAACUGAGACACGGUCCAAA